rnacentral:lncRNA from 1 species
UUCCUAAGAAAUUUAUUUGCCAAGACUUUCCUGCUAGCAUCAUACAGUGGGACGUAAAUGAUCCAAGGGGGGGAUAAUAAUGAGCAAAAAAGUUAUUCCAGGACCUAUAAAGAAGAGGUGCUUAGGGCCUUAUAACUUUUUUGGGUAGUGAAAUGCCAUUGAAUUAGUGUGAUGCUUGGGUCGCAUAAUGAACCAUUAUCCGAAAAACAAAUGAAGUGAUUCAUGUUGGAUCAGCAAACAAAGUAGCCAGCCCAGUUUAAUUUAAAGAACAGUGGCUUAAGGAUGAAAAC